rnacentral:lncRNA from 10 species
CUAUAUAUGAAAAUAUUGGCUGGGCGUGGUGGCUCAUACCUGUAAUCCCAGUACUCUGGGAGGGCGAAGUGGGCGGUUUGCCUGAGCUCAAGACCAGCCUGGGAAACAUGGGAAGACCCUGACUCCACUAAAAAUACAAAAAAUUAGCCGGGCAUGGUGCCACACACCCAUAGUCCCAGCUACUCAGGGAGGCUGAGGCAUGAGAAUCGCUUGAACCCUGUAGGCGGAGAUUACAUUGAGCUGAGAUCACACCACUGCACUCCAGCCUAGGCAACAGAGCGAGACUCUGUCUCAAAAAAAAGAAAAGAAAAUAUUGAAUACAUUAUUACAUCAAAAAUACAACUCUAGAAAUAAACCCUUUCCCUUAUACAUUUAGAGACUAUGACAGUAUCAUACUCAGUAUGUUUAAAAGUAUAGAAGUUUACAACGCAAACUGCAAAGGCUAUUCAAAAUAAGGAGGCCAGGCAUGGUGGCUCACGCCUGUAAUCCCAGCAUUUUGGGAGGC